rnacentral:rRNA from 1 species
GUGGGGAAUAUUGCACAAUGGGCGAAAGCCUGAUGCAGCAACGCCGCGUGAGGGACGACGGCCUUCGGGUUGUAAACCUCUUUUAGUAGGGAAGAAGCGAAAGUGACGGUACCUGCAGAAAAAGCACCGGCUAACUACGUGCCAGCAGCCGCGGUAAUACGUAGGGUGCAAGCGUUAUCCGGAAUUAUUGGGCGUAAAGAGCUCGUAGGCGGUCUGUCGCGUCUGCUGUGAAAACUGGAGGCUCAACAUCCAGCCUGCAGUGGGUACGGGCAGACUAGAGUGCGGUAGGGGAGAUUGGAAUUCCUGGUGUAGCGGUGGAAUGCGCAGAUAUCAGGAGGAACACCGAUGGCGAAGGCAGAUCUCUGGGCCGUAACUGACGCUGAGGAGCGAAAGCGUGGGGAGCGAACAGGAUUAGAUACCCUAGUAGUCC